UUUCAUGCACAGUUCAUUAGGCUGUUCAUCUUUACCCAUGGGAGUCAGCUUAUCUCUCCAUCUGAUAUACUGUGUCUGUGGAAUGUCUCCCAUAUUUGGACUUUUCUUAAUAAUGGCAACAGCAGCACAUGGUUCUGCAGGCUCAGACAGCGACGUUAUAACACAUUAUGUAGCUCUGGGACGACCUGCGUUUAUACAGCUGAUAAAUGGAGCCAGUGGCUAUGAGCUAUGGCUCAAAAAGGAUGGAAAUGUGAUUUUAAUGUUUAAAAAGGACAAAACUACAUUUGUAGGAAAUUGGGAAUCUCAGUUUAAUUUUUAUACGAACGGCACCUUGAUGAUCAUCAAGGCAGAAAGAAGCCUUUCUGGCAUUUAUACUUCGGAAAUAUAUGAUUCAAACGGAAAAUCAUUACGAACUGAAAGAUUCCGCUUGACCAUUGAAGGUUCUGCAGGGUCAGACAGCGACAAUAAAACACAUCAUGUAGCUCUGGGACGACCUGCGUUUAUACAGCUGAUAAAUGGAGCCAGUGGCUAUGUGCUAAUUCUCAAAAAGGAUGGAAAUGUGAUUUUCAAGUUUAAAAAGGACAAAACUACUUUUUUAGGAAAUUGGGAAUCUCAGUUUAAUUUUUAUACAAACGGCACCUUGAUGAUCAUCAAGACAGAAAGAAGCCUUUCUGGCAAUUAUACUUCGGAAAUAUUUGACUCAAAUGGAAAUGCUUUACCAUGGGAAAGAUUCCGCUUGAUCAUUGAAGAGCCUGUGACCCCCCCAGCUCUGACUUCAGUCUGCCUGCCCCACGGAGAGCUGAGGGUGUCCUGCUCCUCAGCGGGGGAUAAUCCCCAGUACUCCUGGCUUCUGGAUGGUUUGCUCCUGAAUAACUCCAGGCCCGUUUAUGACGAUGGGAAAGGGGUCGUCAUUCUGGGAAAGAACACAUCCGGAAGCCUCACCUGUACAGCCAAGAAUAACGUCAGCGAGGAAAAGGCCGCAGUGACGCUCCCCAACUGCGCAGGACUUGGACCAGUGGUAAACUGCACCUUGACUAAUGGUACAGAGAUCGCAGUACGAAUGAAUGCUGCAGUGAACCCUUCUCUGUUAUAUAAUAUGACAAUAUUCUUCACUGUCGAUGGAAGAGAGACACUGGCUGCUGUUUGUAAUGCGAGUAGCCAGCAAACAGGAAAAAAAAAAAAAAUUAUUCAGCUGAUAUGAAGCCGAUGCUUUUCGCUGCACUGGGAACAGUGGUCCUAUUUCCAGUAUUGACAGUAGGGCUUUACAGCUACUGCAGGAAGAGACCCCAUGUGCAGGCAGAAGACAGUAAACCUGACACUGAAGACAUGAACAACACUGUAACAGAGGUGGUGUAUAAAGCUGUCACAAUGUAAUUAACAAGUGUUUGUACUGGUGACACAGAGAUUUCUGUGUAGAAUGCAGUGUUAAGGACACUGAUAUGAGAACAGAAACUGCCUUUUUCAUUCUCAAACUAUUUUCUCAUUUUUUAUUUGAUUAUUUGUUCUGGGGAAACUUUUGCAAUUUUUAUGUAAAACAUUUUUUUUGUGUGGUUUUUGCAUCACAGAUUAAUUUGUAUUUUUUGUAUUAUGCUUGGUAUCAUUUUAUGUGACUUAAUUCAUUGUGUUUAAAUUGUUUCAGAAAUGUACAGUUUUGAAAGGCUUACUCGGGGGGGUAAAUACAAACGCACAUCGCACUAUUCAGAAUUUUAUUUGUGGAACAUUUCGAAAACCAUGUACCAUUUUCUUCCCAGUUUUCCUUCUGUUGUUUUAUGAAAUAUAAUGUGGCAAUUUUCCACAAAGCAAACUUCAACCAAAUAAAGUAUGUAAAAGGCUAUGAAGUUUUGUAUUAGCAGCACGAUGUUAACAGAGAACUGCAAGGAUAAGCAGUGAUGGGAGAGACCACCUGUAUCCAGCCUGAUUCACGACUGAGACCUUGAAGGGUAAAGUCUGAGUAAAGAACAAGACUUUGGGGGCGGGACCAAGUUAAGACUGAGACUUUGAGGGAGGCGAGAAUGAGUUGAGAACAAGGUCUGACAAAAUCAAGUCCGUUUUGGAGAGCAUGGUUUGCAUUGUACUGAAUUACACUCACUGUCACCUUCGUACCAAAAUGUACCAAGUUACUCCUUGGUGUCCAUGAGGGACUGGAUCCAGGAGCCACCAACCCCCCCGCAGGUAUCAAAAUCCAUGGAUGCGUAAGUCCCUUAUGUAUAUAACCUACACACAUCCUCCCAUAUACUAUAAUCCAUUUCUAGAUUACUUAUACCUACUACAAUGUCAAUACGAUGCAAAGAGUUUUUAUACUGUAUUGUAUAGGGAAUAAUGACAAGAAAAUAAAGUCUGUGAUGUUCAGUACAGAACCACCAUUGUAGUACAUAUAGGAAAAAAAUGACAAAAUAUAAAUUAAUUCUCUCUACCAAUGCAUCACUUCAUAUGACUUCUGGAAUUUCUUUUGUUAUAUGUUUGACGCGUGGUUGUUUGAAUCCUCAGAUGCAGCCCCUUUGGGUGCAGAGGGCUGAACGUAUCUCAUAGCAACAUUUAUGACGGUGCAUAAAUACAGUAUCACGUUUGAUUAUU